rnacentral:lncRNA from 10 species
AAAAGAAAGAGGAGGCCAGGCGCAGUGGCUCAUGCCUGUAAUCUUAGCACUUUGGGAGGCUGGGGCUGGAGGAUUGCUUGAGACCAGGAGUUCAAGACCAGCCUGGACAACACGGCAAGACCCUGUCUCUCAAAAAAAAAAAAAAGGAGAAAAGAAAAGAAAAGAAGGAAGAGGAAGAAAGGGAAAAGGAGAAGGAAGAGGAAAAGGAAGAAGAGGAGGAAGGAGAAGAAGGAGAAAGUCUAUUUAAUCAUUGUUGCUAUUUUUCCUUCUUUGCUACAAAGGCAGUUGGAAGCCCUGAAGGUCUCAUACGUUCCAGUAGAGGACAUUGCAUGUCCUUUGAAAGAAAAUUUCCAUUUGAUACACAUUAUUAAGCACGAUUUUAGUAAGUGAAAAGAGAACAAACCAUUAAUGGAGUGCACAGCCAAGAAUGGAAUAUAAGAGGACUCCGCGGCCCGAGAAAGCAGUUGAUUUAGAAGAAGGAAAGACCCUGCCCUGCAGAAUCAUUAUGGAAGCUACUGAGUGACAAGGCAUCCCUGCAUUGGUCCUUUAUAUGACAAGGUUCUGAAAAAAGAGGACAGCACCUCCUAUGAAGAGCAUGGAGACCCUAACGAGAUGCAGCCACCUCUGGUGAUACGUUAUUGUCAAGAACCUGGACACCGGCUGAAGUCAGGGUCCCACCAGCAUUUGGGGACCUCCCCCAGCCCAUUCAUAUCAUUGGCACCAUGUUCUUGGACUUCUCAGCCUCUGGAUUGGUAAACUAAUUAAACCUUUAUUCUUUAUAAAUUACCCAGUCUGGGGUACUCAGUUACAGCAACAGAAAAUGGACUAAGACAUGCCCUCUGCCCAGUUAUAUAUCAUGUAGCAUAAUGAUUACCCUGAUAUAUGUAAUAUUUUUUUUGGGUCUUGAUAAUAUAAAAUGGCCUAACUUGGAUUGGAUUAAUAUGAAAUAAAGGAGAUUUCCAAUAAUAUGAUAUGUAGGAUUUGCUUACAAAUAAUAAGAGGUAGAGGGCCAGGCACAGUGUCUCACACCUGUAAUCCCAGCACUUUGGGAGGCUGAGGCGGGCAGAUCACAAGGCCAGGAGAUUGAGACAAUCCUGGCUAAUACAGUGAAAUCCUGUCUCUACUAAAAAUACAAAAAAUUUGCCAGGCGUGGAGGCACGUGACUGUAGUCUCAGCUACUCAGGAGGCUGAGGCAAGAGAAUCGCUUGAACCCAGGAGGCGAAGGUUACAGUGAGCUGAGAUCACAC